CUGGUGUUACAAAUGUGUAUUGACUAAAGUAAUCGCUUACUAUCAGAGUAAAUGGUACCCAUGCGUCAUUUUCUCUAAUGUAUUCGUAGUGUGAAUCCAAUCAACAUAAAUUGAGCGACGGACAAACCGACAGAUGCCGUGUAAUCGCUCCUGCGACGGUUUUUCUCCCGCCCUAAUGUACGGUGAUCGAAUCUGAUUAAAAUAUGCUAUCUGUAUGUGGAUACGAUUUUUGUUAUUUUUUAAUAUUACGAAUGAAAAUAAAAAUUUAGUUGAGAAUUAGAAUAUUAUGUUAUGGGGUUG
rnacentral:misc_RNA from 1 species